AUUUUUUUUCCAGUUCAUCAGCAUGAUGAUUGGGCGUUCAAUGCUUAUGUGACAUGUGCCUCGCUUAAACCUUGCUAUGCACUUGGCUCAUUACCCAUCUGACA